AACGCGAAGAACCUUACCUGGGCUCGAAAUGUAGUGGAAUCGGGUGGAAACAUCCGCGUCUCGCAAGAGACUGCUAUAUAGGUGCUGCAUGGCUGUCGUCAGCUCGUGCCGUGAGGUGUUGGGUUAAGUCCCGCAACGAGCGCAACCCUUACUCAUAGUUGCUACCCGCAAGGGAGAACUCUAUGAGGACUGCUCCGGAUAACGGAGAGGAAGGUGGGGAUGAGGUCAAGUCAGCAUGGCCUUUAUGUCCAGGGCUACACACGUGUUACAAUGCGCGCCACAAUGCGUCGCGAACCCGCGAGGGGGAGCUAAUCGGAAAAAGCCGGCCUCAGUUCGGAUUGGAGUCUGCAACUCGACUCCAUGAAGCUGGAAUCGCUAGUAAUCGCGGAUCAGCACGCCGCGGUGAAUACGUUCCCGGGCCUUGUACACACCGGUACUA
rnacentral:rRNA from 1 species